GACGGAGGAUGCAAGCGUUAUCCGGAAUGAUUGGGCGUAAAGCGCCCGCAGGUGGCCGUUCAAGUCUGCUGUCAAAGACCGGGGCUUAACUUCGGAAAGGCAGUGGAAACUGAACAGCUAGAGUAUGGUAGGGGCAGAGGGAAUUCCUGGUGUAGCGGUGAAAUGCGUAGAGAUCAGGAAGAACAUCGGUGGCGAAGGCGCUCUGCUGGACCAUAACUGACACUCAGGGACGAAAGCUAGGGGAGCGAAUGGG
rnacentral:rRNA from 1 species